CAGGUAUUCCCUCCGUCCGAAAAUACUUGUCAUCAAAAUGGACAAAAAGGGAUGUAUCUAGAACUAAAAUACGUCUAGAUACAUCUCCUUUUAUUCAUUUUGAUGACAAGUAUUUCCGGACGGAGGGAGUAGGAG
rfam:Triticum aestivum genome assembly, contig: Triticum_aestivum_CS42_TGACv1_scaffold_327909_4BS